rnacentral:lncRNA from 1 species
CGAAGUAAUAAGUAGAAACAAAAAGUAACCUAACCUCUUCAAGAUAAGCAGCAGAACCAGCAAGAGUGCUGCUGUGCUGUGUGAGGAAAUGUGCUGGCCAAGGCAGUGAAUUAGCAGCAUGUCUGUGUGACUUAGUGACGUGACUUCAGUAAAGACAUGGAGAGCCUUCCAGCCUCUGCUAUUCAAGCUGAUUGCAGUUGUGAAAUACACAUGCCUUUGCUAUAAGGGGAAAUGGAGCAGUCCUAACUUCCUCCUUCUUUGUGAGUUUGCUUUGUUAAAUAAACUAUGGAACUUAUGGAGGUGGCUGAGAGAGAAAGUUUUUGUUUGCCCUUGAACACUGCUUCAACCUGUGGGGGACAACUGAACUAAGCUAAGGACCAUCAGAGAACUUAAAUACAAAACCUCCUGAUAUUCAAGCUAAUGCUGUAACAACAAAGUUAACUUGAGCAAACUUUGAACAAUUCCCUUGCAGGCCCUGUUCUGGAAUCUCUCCAGUGGUGACCCUCAAACUUUAGCAUACAAAAAUAAGAAUCUGCUAAAGAACUGAUCAACCAUGCAGAUUUCUGAGCGCCACCCUCCUGAGAUUCUGAUUCAUUGGUUUGAGCACAGCUAGAAUCUGCAUUAUAAUAACGCCAAGGGUUCAGAUGUAGUCCACCUAAGGACACUCUGAGACAAGCAACAACUGCCUUGUGAACUUCGAGCCAAUGGAAAACCCGACUGAGAAACCUGUCUCAUCAUUAAGCCAACUUUAUAAUCUCAAGUCGUGAUGCAUACUUGGUGCUCACUCAAAUGGAAGUAGAAGGAGAAUGUGAGUCAAUGUGGUUCUAUCUGCAAUUUUCCACUUCCACCUGCAGGGAAAUGAUUUAUCCAUAAUGCAGGAAGGUCAAGGUUCCCAGGAUAGCACAAGUCAACAUUUUCCUUCUUACUACUAUGUAAACAAGUUUUUCAAGGCACUUUAGAUUUAAAAAGUUAACAAAGAGGAAAGACAAAGGAGGAAAGAAGGAAGAGAAGGAUUUUCACAGGAAAAAUAAAAGAAAGGUAAUCUUGCUAAAGUAAGUAGGACGAACUGGACUAUACCUGCUGAAUAAUUAUAGGGUACGCUUCAGAAGGCACACACUCAGCGAAGCCAGACACACUGGCCAGUAACGAGAUAGCAAGAGUUGGGAAUUAUUCAUUUUCUGGCCUCAUAUUAUCUGCAGAGUCCAUGAGGGUUUAGGAGGAUGGUCUUUUUCAGAAAUCUUAAUCUGUAUCAAAUGGAGGAAUGGAAUUGCAUCUCAGUGAGAUCUUGCUGUCCCGAUUCUUCUUCAGCCACCUGUAUGCCUACCAUGGGUUUGCAAAUUCUGCCCUGGGUCUGGUUACUACAUUAAGAAUAUAUCUUACUGUCAAUAUCAGGGUUCCUAUUAAACUGUUCUCCUAUGCAGUUCCCAAAUAUUAGACACAUAAGGAAAAGUGCUUUCCUAAAAAUGCUUUACUUUUUACCUUCAACAAGGGAACAACAGUUAGCUUCAACUUUCAACAGUUUUAGAAUACUUUGCAUUUUAAAAGCUUCUUGCAUUUGAACACAUCUCAAAAUCUUGGCCUCACUCUCUUUUCUCAAUGCAUAAAUGUGGUUACGAUCCCUGGGGGUUUUCACAUGCUUUUAUACCAGGUGACUGUGUAUUAAACGAGCUAAGGUAAAGUUGAUCCAUGAUAAUUAACAGGAAUAAGAUUUUAGGGGAAAAAAUCCUAAAACCUGUUUCUUAAAUGAAGCCAUCAAUCAUGGCAGAGGAGCCACAUGUUGGGCACAAAGCCAACACCCACACGGCUCUUUCUGGGACAAGGCUUUUGGUCAAGGGCAAGGUAUUCCCCACAAGAAGAGAGCUGAAUAUGUCUCCCAUUUUGCUAGUCUCUUAUAUUAGCAUAACUUUUAGUCUUAUGGAGGCAAACCUUCCCUGUUCCAGAGCCUUACUUCCAAUGAAGUAGGCAAGGCAACAAACACUCAAAGAAGUUAAGGGACUGCUUAAGCCUAACAAAUCUUGCAGGUGGUAGAGGUGGAAUGAGAACUGAGUUUAUGCUUAGGAAAGUAGACUGUGGUCUUUUUUCCUAAAGAAAGUUGCUUUGAGUAGGUACAAUGGGCAGUAGGUCACCAUUUAAAGAGGAAAGAAAUCCGUGACCAAUCAUAACUUGCUAUGCUUGUAAUUCCCACCACCUUAAAGCACAUAGGAAGUGUUUAGUUCGAUUGAAAGAUCAGUUACUUGAGAGAAUAACAUACAAACUAAACCUUAGUACAGUGUGAUAUUCCUACAUCAGACUAAUCUAUAUCCACCUAAUUUCAUACAGGGACACUGAGGAAGUGAAGCCCAGACUACCCUGUAGAUGCAUAGGAAGCUAAGGAAGAUAAUGGGUCCCAAAAAAGCAAUGGUGGGAAUUGGGGUCCAGUCCUUUUCCAGGAGGGAUGGAGUGUAAAAAGAAUAUUAAUAAAAUUAGGUGUUCAAGGCUAGUUUCCGAAAAAACAUUUUGAAUCAAACCUCUGUCCCAAGGACAGAAUAAAACACUCUGUGCUUUGGGAUACCCUAGGACCAACUUCAUCCAUUUCUCAGUUUUUCUUAGAUUAGGACAAUAAUAAGUAGUUUAAAUGCAUGUUGGCUACCAACAAAAGUUAACAAAUAAAGCCUGCCUAAAUUGAUGUGAAGA